CUACGGGGGGCUCCAGUGAGGAAUAUUGCACAAUGGGGGGAACCCUGAUGCAGCAACGCCGCGUGGAGGAUGACGCAUUUCGGUGUGUAAACUCCUUUUAUAUGUCAAGAAAAUGACGGUAGCAUAUGAAUAAGCACCGGCUAACUCCGUGCCAGCAGGCCGCGGUAAUACGGAGGGUGCAAGCGUUACUCGGAAUCACUGGGCGUAAAGGACGCGUAGGCGGGUUGGAAAGUCAGGUGUGAAAUACUACAGCUUAACUGUAGAACUGCACUUGAAACUUCUAAUCUAGAGUAUGGGAGGGGGAGAUGGAAUUAGUGGUGUAGGGGUAAGAUCCGUAGAUAUCACUAGGAAUACCUAAAGCGAAGGCGAUCUCCUGGAACAUUACUGACGCUAAGGCGUGAAAGCGUGGGGAGCAAACAGGAUUAGAGACCCCUGUAGUC
rnacentral:rRNA from 1 species